GUGAGGAAUAUUGGACAAUGGGCGCAAGCCUGAUCCAGCCAUGCCGCGUGCAGGAAGACGCAUCUAUGGUGUGUAAACUGCUUUUGUACGGGAAGAAACACUCCCUCGUGAGGGAGCUUGACGGUACCGUAAGAAUAAGGAUCGGCUAACUCCGUGCCAGCAGCCGCGGUAAUACGGAGGAUCCAAGCGUUAUCCGGAAUCAUUGGGUUUAAAGGGUCCGUAGGCGGUUUAAGAAGUCAGUGGUGAAAGCCCAUCGCUCAACGAUGGAACGGCCAUUGAUACUGUUAGACUUGAAUUACAAGGAAGUAACUAGAAUAUGUAGUGUAGCGGUGAAAUGCUUAGAUAUUACAUGGAAUACCAAUUGCGAAGGCAGGUUACUACUUGUGGAUUGACGCUGAUGGACGAAAGCGUGGGGAGCGAACAGGAUUAGAUACCCCGGUAGUCC
rnacentral:rRNA from 1 species